UACGGAGGAUGCAAGCGUUAUCCGGAAUGAUUGGGCGUAAAGGGUCCGCAGGUGGCAGUGUAAGUCUGCUGUCAAAGAAUGAGGCUUAACCUUAUCAAGGCAGUGGAGACUACACAGCUAGAGUACGGUCGGGGUAGAAGGAAUUCCUGGUGUAGCGGUGAAAUGCGUAGAGAUCAGGAAGAACACCGGUGGCGAAAGCGUUCUGCUAGACCUGUACUGACACUGAGGGACGAAAGCUAGGGGAGCGAAUGGG
rnacentral:rRNA from 1 species